AAAAUUUUGCUGGUUCAUAAAUCUUUACGAAAAAACAAAAAAAUGCAAAUUAUGCAAGUGAUGAUAAUUAGAGACAUAAGCUAACCAAUAUACAUUGCAGAGGAAGACAAUACUUGGUUAUAAUGCUAAAUGCAACCGACAACAGGUAUUUGGACACAGCAUUUUUUGAUGGAUCAUUUGGCUGCUAUCUAAAGGUUUGCUUCUUAUAAAAGUUUUUUCUUUACUAAAUAUGUAUUUUAAACAAAAAAAAAAAAAAAA
rnacentral:sRNA from 1 species